rnacentral:rRNA from 1 species
GAUCCUGGCUCAGGAUGAACGCUAGCGGCAGGCCUAACACAUGCAAGUCGAGGGGGCAGCACGAUUGAGCUUGCUCAAUUGGUGGCGACCGGCGCACGGGUGCGUAACGCGUAUGCAACCUACCCUGUACUGGGGUAUAGCCCGAAGAAAUUCGGAUUAAUCCCCCAUAGUAUAUUUCAUUCGCAUGUUUGGAAUAUUAAAGGUUACGGUACAGGAUGGGCAUGCGUCCCAUUAGCUAGAUGGUGAGGUAACGGCUCACCAUGGCGACGAUGGGUAGGGGGCCUGAGAGGGUGGUCCCCCACACUGGUACUGAGACACGGACCAGACUCCUACGGGAGGCAGCAGUGGGGAAUAUUGGACAAUGGGCGAAAGCCUGAUCCAGCCAUGCCGCGUGUGUGAAGAAGGUCUUCGGAUUGUAAAGCACUUUAAGUUGGGAGGAAGGGCAGUAACCUAAUACGUUAUUGUUUUGACGUUACCGACAGAAUAAGCACCGGCUAACUACGUG